ACCUGCCUCUGCUUCCCAACUGCUGGGGUUAAAGGCAUGUGCCACCAUGCCUGGCUCUUUCUUUUUAAAUGGAGAAACUUGAAUGUGUUCUUUAGCGUCCCUUGUUCUUUCCUUUAAGGAAUGGCUCCUAGCUUUUCAUGUAAUGAGAAAAGACAUCGAAGAGGCUGAGGAUAUGGCUCUGGGGUAGCGAUUGCCUAGCAACUUGAAGGAAUAAGAUGAACUCGUGAUGUGCAGUCAUUGAUACUGUUUCCCUGCUGCGGUACACGGUUUUAGUUUGCUGCUCAUACAAAAGAUUGAUUGUAACGAGAGCUUUGUUUACUGUCAGCUUAUUUUGGGUAAACGAAGCAUGUGAAAUUUCAUGUGGGGUCUGGAGAAAUGACUCAGAGGUGAGGAGCACCUCCCGCUCUCCCAGAGGACCCAGGUUGGAUCCCCCGCAUCCAUGUCAUCGGUUCACAGUCACAUGUGAUUCCAGCUCCAGGGGUCCCAGUCUGUCUCUUCUGCUCUCCGCAGGUAUCUGUUCACACAAGGCACACGUGCACAUAGGUACACAUACGUGAAAAUGUGAUCACACAUGGCACAUGUGCACAUAGGUACACACAAAUGAAAAUGUGAUCACACAUGGCACACGUGCACAUAGGUACACACAAAUGAAAAUGUGAUACACAAGGCACAUGUACACAUAGGUACACACAAAUGAAAAUGUGAUCACACAAGGCACACGUGCACAUAGGUACACAUAAGUGAAAAUGUGAUCAUACAUGGCACACGUGCACAUAGGUACACACAAAUGAAAAUGUGAUUCACAAGGCACACGUGCACAUAGGUACACACAAAUGAAAAUGUGAUCACACAUGGCACAUGUGCACAUAGGUACACACAAAUGAACAUGUGAUACACAAGGCACAUGUACACAUAGGUACAGACAAAUGAAAGUGUGAUCACACACGGCAUUGAUGCACACAUAAAUGAAAAUGUGAUCACACAUGGCACACGUACACAUAGAUACACACAAAUGAAAAAGUAAAAAUUAACCCUUCAGAUAGCUUCGCUGUAUCAUCUUGGCUUUUGUAGGUCUUCUUACCAUGGUGCUGACUCAAGUCUAACCUUUCUGUUCUCGCUUACAAGGCACACAGCAGAUGGGGACUGUCCAUACUGUGAAAGGACAGGAUUUAGGGCUAGUUUAGAAAGGGCCAUGCUGCUUGCUGCUUCUCUAUCAACACCGUCUGUGGACAAACUCUAAGGAUAGUUCUGUAGAGCAUUUCAUGUGUCAUUAAGGGUCCAGGCUUUGUGGCUCUCAGGAGGGAAGUGGGACUGGAAGCGGGAAGGUCUUUCUGCCUUUGUGGACUGUGGAGAGGAGUGAGCGAAUGUUGGGAGAGUGGACGUGUUACGGGAGCUAUAUGCCAAUGUUCUGUGGUUAUGGGGGUGCUAAAUGGACCAAGGGAUAGGUAAUAACCGUACAGUUUGGGUCUUCGUCUCUAUGCCUCUUCCUCUAUUUGGGAUCUCUUUUCUUUUUUUGUACUGCUGGGGAUAGAACCCAGGGCUUUACUCAUACUAGGCACACCCUCCCCCCCCAGCCUUAUAAUUUAGCAUCAUGAGAAGGGAAAGCUGCUGACUGUAGCCCAACAGUGGUAGAAGGAAGUGGCUACACAGGGGAGCCUGAGGGGCAAGGGAUUCUGAAAUGCUGUCAGUGAGGUGGAUGGAGGAGGUUAGUGACCAAGGGAAGAGUGGGCAUCAGGACAAGGGACUGUGUGGUGGCAGACCCUUAAGUCAGGACUGGAUACCAGGGAUCGGAGCAGAAUGACGUCUCAAGAGAUGAGGUGGCACCCGUCCAGUAAAGGGACUGGAUUAUUCUGUGUCACAGAGAACAGUGAGCAUCUAAGGCCAUGGCACACUGCGUCCAGGGUGUCUCAGAAGACCUGGGGGAGGGGAAAAAACCUUCAAAGCAACCACUCAGACCAGUCUGGUAAGGAGCUGUGCUAAAAAUAUGAAUGUUAACUGGGAAAAAAUUGAUUUUGUUAUUUGACACAUUUUAAAUUUUCCUGGCUCUUUAUUAGAUAGAUGUUUAAGAAAAAAAAGAUGGGUUCUAGAACAAGCCACAUCAUCUUCAGGAGAUAGAUUACGGCGCUUGGAGAAAACAAGGUAGCCAUGUUGGAGUUGACAUGUGUAUGUCUAGGCCAUGACAUAGGCAGUGCGGGAACAUGGUUUAGUAAGACAGUGGAGUCUUUCUUGGCUAAGGACUGGACCUAGACUAGGGUUAAAGGGAAACAGCUCCAUGCGUAUGGAGAGACGUGGUGUGUGGGAGCAGGCAGCUGCAGAGAUUAAAGUCCAAUACAGCGGCACACACCUUUCAUCCCAGCAUUCGGGAGACAGAGGCAGGUAGAUCCCUGAUAUGAGGCUAGCCUGGUCUAUGUAGCACAUUCCAAGCCAGCCAUAGUGAAAUCUCAUGAGUUCUAGAACAAGCCACAUCAUGUUCAGGAGAUAGAUUACAAAAAACCUAAGCACACAAGACAGAACAUUGAAACGAACAUUGCUUUCAUUGCUAGAGAAAUGGCUCAGCGGUGAAGGGAGCUGGCUAUCCUUCCAGAGAAUCCAGGUUUGAUUCUCAGCGCCAACCGUCUGACUCUCACAACUGUCUGUAACCCUUGGCUUCUGCAGGCACUGGUCAUGUGCAUGUGAUGCCUAGACGAACACGCAGUCAACCCUGCCCACAUAAAUACACUUAAAAUUUUUUUUAAAAAGGUGUGAGACAGCCAAGGAAGUGGUUGCUAAGGGACUUAGACUUAGAUUCAAAAUAGUUUUCUAGGAAAGAAGAGGGAAUUGCCUGCUGAAAUGUGGGCUUGAUGUAAAGUGUGGCGGGACCUGUUAAAACCUGUUUUUUGUUUAACCUCUGAAUGCCUCGUGCUUUCGUCCUGCUGCAGUAGCAGCUGCUGGCUGUGAAUGUUGGAUUGACCCAGAUGUUGGGUGGCUGUGAUCGGUGCAGAGGGCGGAAGGACCUUGAGCUGUAGGUAAGAGCACACACAAUGGUAGAUUACAGCCUGUAAGCUGGGGAUGAGAUCACGGGGAAAGGGGUGGGUUGUGAGUGUGGCGGAAUUACACAGCUAAAGGUCUUUUUAGUUGUUUAGGACAGGGUCUCAUGUCACCCAGACCGGCCUGAACUAUGUAGCCAAGAAUGGCAUUUGACUUCUGGUCUUCUUCGCUCUGCCUCCUACCUCCUGAGUUCUGGGAUUAUGGAGGUAUGGUCUCUCUCGGGCCUGGGACUCACCAAGUAGACUAGGUUCCCUAGCUGCUGCUCUAACUCUGGGAUAACAAGAAUGCACAUCAUACGUGGAUUCUUUUUAGAGGACCUGGGUUUGCUUCUUAGACCUGUGCAGUAGCUUGCAACUCCCUGCAACUUCGCUUCCCGAGUUUCUGACUCUCUUCACCAGCAAGGAGGUUUAGGAAAGGGCCGUGUGGCUGAGCUCCGAGCCGGACAGCAUUUGACCCAUGUGAACGCUACAGCAGAGGACGUUCCUAAUCAGACCGGAUGACUGCUCUGCACACGGCAGUGGCCUCCAGGAGACCUCCAGGACCAGCCAGCUGCCUACCGUCAGUUUGUAUUUAUUGCCCUGUCAUGGGGACGUCAGAUCUCGUCCCCUUGUGCUGCUGUGCACUGAUGUGUGCUGUGCUGCUUUGACUCAUGACUGAUAUUGGAGAGCUCUGUGAGCUCUGGAAUUCUUGAUCUCCUCUGACUUUUCAUGGGCUGAGUUGCUGCUCAUACCUGUGGUGGUGACUGCUCUCCGUGUGUGCUGUCCUCUGGCAUAGCCCCCUCGAAAGCUGGAAAGUUUGUUAAAACAGAUUCAGUAGGAAGAUUGAAGAAAAGGCUGCCGAGGACAGUGGCAAGUCCGUCUGUUUUUGAGAUAAGGUCUAUGACCCAGGGUGGCUUGGAAAUCAACGUGUGGUUGAGGAUGACCUCGUACUAUUGAUCCUGCUUCCACCUUCCAAGUGUUGGUAAUACAGGCCUAUACAACCAGAUCGGUGUAAGAGAUUUUGUUUAUGUGGACCUUAUCUAUGAAUAUUUUACAGCAUAAAGAAAUGAAAACUGGAAAAUGCAAAACAAUUAUCAAAACAUACUAAUUUUAAGUAAAGCUUUCAUUUGUUUAUUUUUGGUUCCUUGAAGGGGGGCGUUUAUGUGGUCCAGGCUAUCUUCUAACUCCUAGGUAGCUGAGGCUAGCCUUGAACUCGGGUCCUCCUGCCCCCACCCUCCAAGAUCUGGGGUAACAGGUGCAUGCUGCUGUGCUUGGAUUACAAACCAACCAUGUGUUCUCGCGGCUAGAGAGAUAGCUCUGUGCUGAGGAGUCUGUUCCUUUUGUAAAAGACCAGAGUUUGUUCCCAGUACCCAUAUUGGAGAACACACUACUGCCUUUAACACGGUCUCCCAGUGAUCCAAAGCAGCUUUCUGGCUUCUGUGUGCUUGUGCACACAUGAACACACACACCCAUGUGUAUGUGUAUGUGUGUGUG
rnacentral:sRNA from 1 species